rnacentral:lncRNA from 1 species
AUCUAUUAAUUAUUCUUUUAUCAGUCCCCUUGAUAAGUGGGUCAUCCACUUUAUCAUCUCUUAUUCUUGCACAAUAAUCUGCAUGAUUGAUUUUACCAUCAUGACCCCUGUCCAUAAUGUAAUUCAUCUCAACACUAGCAGAAACUAACCGAGCCCCAUUUGACCAGCAGAAUGUGAUUUAGAGCUAGUCUCAGGCUUCAGUAUAGUUAUUUAUUUAAUUUUUUUUUUGAGACAAAGUCUCACUCUGUCACCCAGGCUGGAGUGCAAUGGUGCGAUCUCGGCUUACUGCAACCUCUGCCUCUGGGCUCAAGCGAUUCUCGAGCCUCAGCCUCCUGAGUAGCUGGGAUUACAGGUGCACACCACCAUCCUAGCUGAUUUUUGUAUUUUUAAUGGAGAUGGGGUUUCUCCAUGUUGACUGGGCUGGCUCUGGAACUCCUGACCUCAUGUGAUCCACCUGCAUCGACCUCCCAAACUGCUGAGAUUACAGGAGUGAGCCAUUGCGCCCGGCCCGGCUUCAAUGUUGAAUAUGCUGCAGGUUCAUUGGUUGUUUCUUCAUAGCAGAAUAUACUAACAUUAUUAUAAUAAAUGUCCUAACUACUAUUAUUUUUCCAGGAGUACUACAUGAUGUCUUUAUAGCAAAAAUCUAUACAAUUAAUUCCAUUACCAAACUCUCCUACUGAGAACCCUGUUUCUGUGAAUCAGGGCAUCAGACCUAUGAGUUUGAUAUGAUCAACUUAUGCAUCUUCCCGUGAAAAAACUUUCUAUUCCUUACUCUAGCCCUAUGCAUACAGAAUGUUUAAAUAUCUGUCCUAAUAUCUAGUAUUCAGCCACA